rnacentral:rRNA from 1 species
GAUGAACGCUGGCGGCGUGCUUAACACAUGCAAGUCGAACGGAAAGGCUCCUGCUUGCAGGGGUACUCGAGUGGCGAACGGGUGAGUAACACGUGGGUGAUCUGCCCUGCACUUCGGGAUAAGCCUGGGAAACUGGGUCUAAUACCGGAUAGGACGAUGGUUUGGAUGCCAUUGUGGAAAGUUUUUCGGUGUGGGAUGAGCUCGCGGCCUAUCAGCUUGUUGGUGGGGUAAUGGCCUACCAAGGCGUCGACGGGUAGCCGGCCUGAGAGGGUGUACGGCCACAUUGGGACUGAGAUACGGCCCAGACUCCUACGGGAGGCAGCAGUGGGGAAUAUUGCACAAUGGGCGCAAGCCUGAUGCAGCGACGACGCGUGGGGGAUGACGGCCUUCGGGUUGUAAACUCCUUUCGCUAGGGACGAAGCGCAAGUGACGGUACCUGGAGAAGAAGCACCGGCUAACUACGUG